GAUAAACGCUGGCGGCGUGCAUGAGACAUGCAAGUCGAACGAAGGAUCGGGCUUGCUCGAUCCUUAGUGGCGGACGGCUGAGUAACGCGUAGGUGACCUACCCCGAAGUGGGGAAUAACUGCCCGAAAGGGUGGCUAAUACCGCAUGUGGUCGCACGUUCAUUCGUGCGAGUAAAGCCGCAAGGCGCUUCGGGAGGGGCCUGCGUCCGAUUAGCUCGUUGGUGGGGUAAUGGCUUACCAAGGCGACGAUCGGUAGGUGGUCUGAGAGGACGAUCACCCAGACUGGGAGUGAGACACGGCCCAGACUCCUACGGGAGGCAGCAGUCGGGAAUUUUGCUCAAUGGGGGAAACCCUGAAGCAGCAACGCCGCGUGAGGGAUGAAGGCCUUCGGGUUGUAAACCUCUUUUGUCAGGGACGAUGAUGACGGUACCUGGCGAAUAAGCCACGGCUAACUACGUG
rnacentral:rRNA from 1 species